UACGUAGGGUGCGAGCGUUGUCCGGAAUUAUUGGGCGUAAAGAGCUUGUAGGCGGUUUGUCGCGUCUGCUGUGAAAUCUCAAGGCUCAACCUUGAGCUUGCAGUGGGUACGGGCAGACUAGAGUGUGGUAGGGGAGACUGGAAUUCCUGGUGUAGCGGUGAAAUGACGCAGAUAUCAGGAGGAACACCAAUUGGCGAAGGCAGCUCGCUGGGACGUUACUGACGCUGGAGAACGGACGAAAGCGUGGGGAGCAAACAGG
rnacentral:rRNA from 1 species